UCAGACCGUAUGUUUCAUAAGGAUGAUGUUAUGACCUAUGCCCUAGCGUUUGCUGCUACAAAAACACCGGAAUUAAAGGCAACAGUAAAAAGAGUGAUCCAGAGUUACAAUAAUAGUAAUUUGAAAAGCCAUAGAGAUAUCAUAGCAAUAUGCAGGAUAAUAGUAGAUGCAGCGCCGGAAGUAACCAUAGGAGUACCCAAAUAUGAGCACUUCAUAAAAUAUUGGAAAAAUGGGAGAUUCACAGCGGAAACAGUUGAAAAUAUCAUCUUUCGAAGUUGGUUUUCUUCAUAGUUUGAUUAUAUCAUUAACUGUUCUCGAAUUACUGCAUGUAUGUAAUAUUUCACAUAUUCAUAUACAAAUGUAGAUUUGAUUGAU